GACGGUACCUGAAGAAAAAGCAUCGGCUAACUCCGUGCCAGCAGCCGCGGUAAUACGGAGGAUGCAAGCGUUAUCCGGAAUCAUUGGGCGUAAAGGGUCCGCAGGUGGCGAAUAAAGUCUGCUGUUAAAGACCGGGGCUAAACUCCGGAAAGGCAGUGGAAACUGAUUAGCUAGAGUACGGUAGGGGUAGAGGGAAUUCCCAGUGUAGCGGUGAAAUGCGUAGAUAUUGGGAAGAACACCGGUGGCGAAAGCGCUCUACUAGGCCGAAACUGACACUGAGGGACGAAAGCUAGGGUAGCGAAAGGGAUUAGAUACCCCUGUAGUCUUAGCUGUAAACGAUGGAUACUAGGCGUAGCUUGUACCGACCCGAGCUGUGCCGAAGCUAACGCGAUAAGUAUCCCGCCUGGGGAGUACGCACGCAAGUGUGAAACUCAAAGGAAUUGACGGGGGCCCGCACAAGCGGUGGAGUAUGUGGUUUAAUUCGAUGCAACGCGAAGAACCUUACCAGGGCUUGACAUGUCGCGAAUCUGGCGGAAACGUUAGAGUGCCUUAGGGAACGCGAACACAGGUGGUGCAUGGCUGUCGUCAGCUCGUGUCGUGAGAUGUUGGGUUAAGUCCCGCAACGAGCGCAACCCUCGUCCUUAGUUGCCAAUAUUAAGUUAGGCACUCUAGGGAGACUGCCGGGGACAACUCGGAGGAAGGUGGGGAUGACGUCAAGUCAGCAUGCCCCUUACGUCCUGGGCGACACACGUACUACAAUGGUUGGGACAAAGGGCAGCAAGCUCGCGAGAGUAAGCGAAUCUCAUCAAACCCAGCCACAGUUCAGAUUGCAGGCUGCAACUCGCCUGCAUGAAGUAGGAAUCGCUAGUAAUCGCAGGUCAGCAUACUGCGGUGAAUUCGUUCCCGGGCCUUGUACACACCGCCCGUCACACCAUGGAAGCUGGCUACGCCCGAAGUCGUUACCCUAACCCGGUUUUGGGAGGGGGAUGCCGAAGGUAGAGCUGGUGACUGGGGUGAAGUCGUAACAAGGUAGCCGUACCGGAAGGUGUGGCUGGAUCACCUCCUUU
rnacentral:rRNA from 1 species